AACGAACGCUGGCGGCAUGCCUAACACAUGCAAGUCGAACGAGACCUUCGGGUCUAGUGGCGCACGGGUGCGUAACGCGUGGGAACCUGCCCUUAGGUUCGGAAUAACUCCCCGAAAGGGGUGCUAAUACCGGAUAAUGUCUUCGGACCAAAGAUUUAUCGCCUUUGGAUGGGCCCGCGUUGGAUUAGCUAGUUGGUAGGGUAAAAGCCUACCAAGGCUACGAUCCAUAGCUGGUCUGAGAGGAUGAUCAGCCACACUGGGACUGAGACACGGCCCAGACUCCUACGGGAGGCAGGAGUGGGGAAUAUUGGAAAAUGGGCGAAAGCCUGAUCCAGCAAUGCCGCGUGAGUGAUGAAGGCCUUAGGGUUGUAAAGCUCUUUUACCCGGGAUGAUAAUGACAGUACCGGGAGAAUAAGCUCCGGCUAACUCCGUG
rnacentral:rRNA from 1 species